rnacentral:rRNA from 1 species
GCGGCGGACGGGUGAGUAACACGUGGGCAACCUACCCUAUAGUUUGGGAUAACUCCGGGAAACCGGGGCUAAUACCGAAUAAUCUCUUUUGCUUCAUGGUAAAAGACUGAAAGACGGUUUCGGCUGUCGCUAUAGGAUGGGCCCGCGGCGCAUUAGCUAGUUGGUGAGGUAACGGCUCACCAAGGCGACGAUGCGUAGCCGACCUGAGAGGGUGAUCGGCC